CCUACGGGAGGCAGCAGUGAGGAAUAUUGGUCAAUGGGCGUAAGCCUGAACCAGCCAAGUCGCGUGAGGGAUGAAGGUUCUAUGGAUCGUAAACCUCUUUUAUAAGGGCAUAAAGUGUGGGACGUGUCCUAUUUUGUAUGUACCUUAUGAAUAAGGCUCGGCUAACUCCGUGCCAGCAGCCGCGGUAAUACGGAGGAUCCGAGCGUUAUCCGGAUUUAUUGGGUUUAAAGGGUGCGUAGGCGGCCUUUUAAGUCAGCUGUGAAAGUCUGUGGCUCAACCAUAGAAUUGCCGUUGAAACUGGGGGGCUUGAGUAUGUGAGAGGCAGGCGGAAUGCGUGGUGUAGCGGUGAAAUGCUUAGAUAGCACGCAGAACCCCGAUUGCGAAGGCGGCCUGCCAAGCAAUGACUGACGCUGAGGCACGAAAGCGUGGGGAUCAAACAGGAUUAGAUACCCUGGUAGUC
rnacentral:rRNA from 1 species